rnacentral:rRNA from 1 species
GUGAGUAAUGCUUGGGAACUUGCCUUUGCGAGGGGGAUAACAGUUGGAAACGACUGCUAAUACCGCAUAAUGUCUACGGACCAAACGGGGCUUAGGCUCCGGCGCAAAGAGAGGCCCAAGUGAGAUUAGCUAGUUGGUGAGGUAAAGGUUCACCAAGGCGACGAUCUCUAGCUGUUCUGAGAGGAAGAUCAGCCACACUGGGACUGAGACACGGCCCAGACUCCUACGGGAGGCAGCAGUGGGGAAUAUUGCACAAUGGGGGAAACCCUGAUGCAGCCAUGCCGCGUGUGUGAAGAAGGCCUUCGGGUUGUAAAGCACUUUCAGUUGUGAGGAAAAGUUAGUAGUUAAUACCUGCUAGCCGUGACGUUAACAACAGAAGAAGCACCGGCUAACUCCGUGCCAGCAGCCGCGGUAAUACGGAGGGUGCGAGCGUUAAUCGGAAUUACUGGGCGUAAAGCGCACGCAGGCGGUUUGUUAAGCUAGAUGUGAAAGCCCCGGGCUCAACCUGGGAUGGUCAUUUAGAACUGGCAGACUAGAGUCUUGGAGAGGG